rnacentral:rRNA from 1 species
CCUGUACACACCGCCCGUCACACCACGAAAGCCGAUUGUAUUUGAAGUCGCUGGGCUAACCCGUCAGGGGGGCAAGCGCCGAAGGUAUGGUCGGUGAUUGGGGUG